GUAAGAACCUCAUCUUUCUUGAUCUGAAGAUAUCGAGGUUUAGAUAUAUUGUGCCCAGUGGGCCACUUUUGGUAAGCAGAACUGGCGCUGUGGGAUGAACCAAACGCGAUGUUACGGCGCCUAAAUUAAUGACUCAUAUUGAUACCAUGAAAGGCGUUGGUUGCUUAAAACAGCAGGACGGUGGACAUGGAAGUCGUAAUCCGCUAAGGAGUGUGUAACAACUCACCUGCCGAAGCAACUAGCCCUUAAAAUGGAUGGCGCUCAAGUCAUAUGCCUAUACAUCGCCGCUAGGACAAUGAGAUCUCAUCCUCGCGGUGAGAUCUGUCAAGUCCUAGUGAGUAGGAGGGUACAAUGGUGUGCGCAGAAGUGUUUGGCGUGAGCCUGCAUGGAGCCGCCAUUGGCACAGAUCUUGGUGGUAGUAGCAAAUAAUCGAAUGAGAUCUUGGAGGACUGAAGUGGAGAAGGGUUUCGUGUGAACAGUGGUUGAUCACGAGUUAGUCGGUCCUAAGCUCUAUGCGAAAGCUGUUUAAUUUACGUUACAAAAAAAUAGUAAGCAUAUUUUUGCCGUACGUGAUUGAUUAAGAGCGAAAGGGAAUACGGUUCCAAUUCCGUAACCUGUUGAGUAUACGUUUGUUUAUUAAAAAUGGGUCUUAUUACACUCAUCCUGGUAACAGGAACAACCAUAGAGAAGCCUUCGAGAGAUACUGGAAGAGUUUUCUUUUCUGUUGAACAAUCGUAAAACCAUGGAAGUCUUUCACAGAGAGAUAUGGUUUAUGGAUUGGAAGAGCAUGACAUUUACUGUUGUGUCAGUAUUUUCUCCUUGGACCUUGAAAAUCUAUGGUGGGGCCACGCAAACAUCUCAACAGACCGUACCGAUAUCCGCAGCCGGUCUCCAAGGUGAAGAGUCUCUAGUCGAUAGAAUA
rnacentral:rRNA from 1 species